GUUUGAUCCUGGCUCAGGAUGAACGCUGGCGGCGUGCCUAAUACAUGCAAGUCGAGCGAACAGACGAGGAGCUUGCUCCUUCGACGUUAGCGGCGGACGGGUGAGUAACACGUAGCUAACCUACCUAUAAGACUGGGAUAACUUCGGGAAACCGGAGCUAAUACCGGAUAAUAUUUCGAACCGCAUGGUUCGAUAGUGAAAGAUGGCUUUGCUAUCACUUAUAGAUGGACCUGCGCCGUAUUAGCUAGUUGGUAAGGUAACGGCUUACCAAGGCAACGAUACGUAGCCGACCUGAGAGGGUGAUCGGCCACACUGGAACUGAGACACGGUCCAGACUCCUACGGGAGGCAGCAGUAGGGAAUCUUCCGCAAUGGGCGAAAGCCUGACGGAGCAACGCCGCGUGAGUGAUGAAGGUCUUCGGAUCGUAAAACUCUGUUAUUAGGGAAGAACAAACGUGUAAGUAACUGUGCACGUCUUGACGGUACCUAAUCAGAAAGCCACGGCUAACUACGUGCCAGCAGCCGCGGUAAUACGUAGGUGGCAAGCGUUAUCCGGAAUUAUUGGGCGUAAAGCGCGCGUAGGCGGUUUUUUAAGUCUGAUGUGAAAGCCCACGGCUCAACCGUGGAGGGUCAUUGGAAACUGGAAAACUUGAGUGCAGAAGAGGAAAGUGGAAUUCCAUGUGUAGCGGUGAAAUGCGCAGAGAUAUGGAGGAACACCAGUGGCGAAGGCGACUUUCUGGUCUGUAACUGACGCUGAUGUGCGAAAGCGUGGGGAUCAAACAGGAUUAGAUACCCUGGUAGUCCACGCCGUAAACGAUGAGUGCUAAGUGUUAGGGGGUUUCCGCCCCUUAGUGCUGCAGCUAACGCAUUAAGCACUCCGCCUGGGGAGUACGACCGCAAGGUUGAAACUCAAAGGAAUUGACGGGGACCCGCACAAGCGGUGGAGCAUGUGGUUUAAUUCGAAGCAACGCGAAGAACCUUACCAAAUCUUGACAUCCUUUGACCCUUCUAGAGAUAGAAGUUUCCCCUUCGGGGGACAAAGUGACAGGUGGUGCAUGGUUGUCGUCAGCUCGUGUCGUGAGAUGUUGGGUUAAGUCCCGCAACGAGCGCAACCCUUAAGCUUAGUUGCCAUCAUUAAGUUGGGCACUCUAAGUUGACUGCCGGUGACAAACCGGAGGAAGGUGGGGAUGACGUCAAAUCAUCGUGCCCCUUAUGAUUUGGGCUACACACGUGCUACAAUGGACAAUACAAAGGGCAGCGAAACCGCGAGGUCAAGCAAAUCCCAUAAAGUUGUUCUCAGUUCGGAUUGUAGUCUGCAACUCGACUACAUGAAGCUGGAAUCGCUAGUAAUCGUAGAUCAGCAUGCUACGGUGAAUACGUUCCCGGGUCUUAACUGACCGCCCGUC
rnacentral:rRNA from 1 species